AUUGAACGCUGGCGGCAGGCUUAACACAUGCAAGUCGAGCGGAGAUGAGGUGCUUGCACCUUAUCUUAGCGGCGGACGGGUGAGUAAUGCUUAGGAAUCUGCCAUUUAGUGGGGGACAACAUUCCGAAAGGAAUGCUAAUACCGCAUACGUCCUACGGGAGAAAGCAGGGGAUCUUCGGACCUUGCGCUAAAUGAUGAGCCUAAGUCGGAUUAGCUAGUUGGUGGGGUAAAGGCCUACCAAGGCGACGAUCUGUAGCGGGUCUGAGAGGAUGAUCCGCCACACUGGGACUGAGACACGGCCCAGACUCCUACGGGAGGCAGCAGUGGGGAAUAUUGGACAAUGGGGGGAACCCUGAUCCAGCCAUGCCGCGUGUGUGAAGAAGGCCCUUUGGUUGUAAAGCACUUUAAGCGAGGAGGAGGCUACUUGGGUUAAUACUCUAGGAUAGUGGACGUUACUCGCAGAAUAAGCACCGGCUAACUCUGUGCCAGCCGCCGCCGUAAGAC
rnacentral:rRNA from 1 species